CACGUUUAUUUUAGUAGUGUCUCGAGCGCCAAGUAUGAAUAGCGGUGACGAAGGCACUACCGUGUCUCUAUUCCGCUCAAAUUAGCACUUUUGAGCGCUGGUGAGCGUGUUGAAUGCUCCUUUCUGUCAAACGUACCUAUACAUAAAUCAAGUCAUCGAAACAAGAACACAAAAUUUACUAAAAGAUGAACAAACGAAACAAAAAAUUAAAAUAGAUGUUUCUACAAAGAAAAAAAAAAGAGGUAGUGUGGGAAAAAUCUCAAGCUGCGAAACAAAAUAUAUUACACAUCAAAAA
rnacentral:lncRNA from 1 species